rnacentral:rRNA from 1 species
UACGUAGGGGGCAAGCGUUGUCCGGAUUUACUGGGCGUAAAGCGCGCGUAGGCGGGGAGGCAAGUCGGACGUGAAAGGCCUCGGCUCAACCGAAGACGGCCGUCCGAAACUGCCUCUCUUGAGGGCCGAAGAGGAGAGUGGAAUUCCCGGUGUAGCGGUGAAAUGCGUAGAGAUCGGGAGGAACACCCAUGGCGAAGGCAGCUCUCUGGUCGGCCACUGACGCUGAGGCGCGAAAGCGUGGGGAGCGAACGGGAUUAGAUACCCGUGUAGU